rnacentral:tRNA from 1 species
AUAUAUAUAGUAUAAAUAUUACAAUUAAUUUCCAAUUAAUAAAUUUAAAAAUAAUUAAUAUAUAUA